rnacentral:rRNA from 1 species
UUGGAGGGCAAGUCUGGUGCCAGCAGCCGCGGUAAUUCCAGCUCCAAUAGCGUAUAUUAAAGUUGUUGCAGUUAAAAAGCUCGUAGUUGAAUUUCGGGAUUGACGUGACGGUCGUGCCUUAAGGGGUAUGAACUGUCGCAGUUGAUUUCUCACCUUCUGGAGAAGCUUGAUGUCCUUAAUUGGGUGUCAUGUGGAACCAGGACCUUUACCUUGAAAAAUUAGAGUGUUUAAAGCAGGCAUUUUGCUCGAAUACAUUAGCAUGGAAUAAUAGAAUAGGACGGCAUGGUUCUAUUUUGUUGGUUUCUAGGAUCACCGUAAUGAUUAAUAGGGAUAGUUGGGGGCAUUAGUAUUCAAUUGUCAGAGGUGAAAUUCUUGGAUUUAUUGAAGACUAACUACUGCGAAAGCAUUUGCCAAGGAUGUUUUCAUUAAUCAAGAACGAAAGUUAGGGGAUCGAAGACGAUCAGAUACCAUCGUAGUCUUAACCAUAAACUAUGCCGACUAGGAAUCAGACGAUGUUAAUUUUUAA